GACGAACGCUGGCGGCGUGCUUAACACAUGCCAGUCGAACGGAAAGGCCCUGCUUUUGUGGGGUGCUCGAGUGGCGAACGGGUGAGUAACACGUGAGUAACCUGCCCUUGACUUUGGGAUAACUUCAGGAAACUGGGGCUAAUAACGGAUAGGAGCUCCUGCUGCAUGGUGGGGGUUGGAAAGUUUCGGCGGUUGGGGAUGGACUCGCGGCUUAUCAGCUUGUUGGUGGGGUAGUGGCUUACCAAGGCUUUGACGGGUAGCCGGCCUGAGAGGGUGACCGGCCACAUUGGGACUGAGAGACGGCCCAGACUCCUACGGGAGGCAGCAGUGGGAAAUAUUGCACAAUGGGCGGAAGCCUGAUGCAGCAACGCCGCGUGCGGGAUGACGGCCUUCGGGUUGUAAACCGCUUUCGCCUGUGACGAAGCGGGAGUGACGGUAAUGGGUAAAGAAGCACCGGCUAACUACGUG
rnacentral:rRNA from 1 species